rnacentral:rRNA from 1 species
AUUGAACGCUGGCGGCAGGCCUAACACAUGCAAGUCGAGCGGAUGAAGGGAGCUUGCUCCUGGAUUCAGCGGCGGACGGGUGAGUAAUGCCUAGGAAUCUGCCUGGUAGUGGGGGAUAACGUCCGGAAACGGGCGCUAAUACCGCAUACGUCCUGAGGGAGAAAGUGGGGGAUCUUCGGACCUCACGCUAUCAGAUGAGCCUAGGUCGGAUUAGCUAGUUGGUGGGGUAAAGGCCUACCAAGGCGACGAUCCGUAACUGGUCUGAGAGGAUGAUCAGUCACACUGGAACUGAGACACGGUCCAGACUCCUACGGGAGGCAGCAGUGGGGAAUAUUGGACAAUGGGCGAAAGCCUGAUCCAGCCAUACCGCGUGUGUGAAGAAGGUCUUCGGAUUGUAAAGCACUUUAAGUUUGGAGGAAGGGCAGUAAGUUAAUACCUUGCUGUUUUGACGUUACCAACAGAAUAAGCACCGGCUAACUUCGUG